UACGGAGGAUCCAAGCGUUAUCCGGAAUCAUUGGGUUUAAAGGGUCCGUAGGCGGCCCUGUAAGUCAGUGGUGAAAUCUCACGGCUCAACCGUGAAAUUGCCAUUGAUACUGCAGGGCUUGAAUUACUAGGAAGUAACUAGAAUAUGUAGUGUAGCGGUGAAAUGCUUAGAGAUUACAUGGAAUACCGAUCGAAGGCAGGUUACUACUAGUGGAUUGACGCUGAUGGACGAAAGCGUGGGUAGCGAACAGG
rnacentral:rRNA from 1 species